rnacentral:rRNA from 1 species
UACGUAGGGUGCGAGCGUUGUCCGGAAUUAUUGGGCGUAAAGAGCUCGUAGGCGGUUUGUCGCGUCGACUGUGAAAACUCGGGGCUUAACCCCGAGCCUGCAGUGGAUACGGGCAGACUAGAGGUAGGUAGGGGAGAUCGGAAUUCCUGGUGUAGCGGUGAAAUGCGCAGAUAUCAGGAGGAACACCGGUGGCGAAGGCGGAUCUCUGGGCCUUACCUGACGCUCAGGUGCGAAAGCUAGGGGAGCGAACAGG